ensembl:snRNA U6 U6 spliceosomal RNA
UUGGUUUUCGCAGCACAUAUACUAAAGCUGGAACAAUACAGAGGAGAUUAGCGUGGCCCCUACGCGGGGAUGACACGCAAAUUUGUGAAGCAUUCCACAUUUUU